rnacentral:sRNA from 1 species
AUUUUCCGCCAUUGGGGAAUUUUUCGCAAUGGGCGAAAGCCUGACGGAGCAAUACCGCGUGAGGGAGGAAGGCUCUUUGGGUUGUAAACCUCUUUUCUCAAGGAAGAAGUUCUGACGGUACUUGAGGAAUCAGCAUCGGCUAACUCCGUGCCAGCAGCCGCGGUAAUACGGAGGAUGCAAGCGUUAUCCGGAAUGAUUGGGCGUAAAGCGUCCGCAGGUGGUUGUGUGUGUCUAUUGUCAAAGCAUCAUGCUUAACAUGAUAAAGGCAGUAGAAACUACACGACUAGAGUGCGUUCGGGGCAGAGGGAAUUCCUGGUGUAGCGGUGAAAUGCGUAGAGAUCAGGAAGAACACCGGUGGCGAAAGCGCUCUGCUAGGCCGCAACUGACACUGAGGGACGAAAGCUAGGGGAGCGAAUGGGAUUAGAUACCCCAGUAGUCCUAGCCGUAAACGAUGGAUACUAGGCGUUGAGAGUAUCGACCCUCUCAGUGCCGUAGCUAACGCGUUAAGUAUCCCGCCUGGGGAGUACGCACGCAAGUGUGAAACUCAAAGGAAUUGACGGGGGCCCGCACAAGCGGUGGAGUAUGUGGUUUAAUUCGAUGCAACGCGAAGAACCUUACCAGGGCUUGACAUGUCUGGAACUUCGGUGAAAGCUGAAGGUGCCUUCGGGAGCCAGAACACAGGUGGUGCAUGGCUGUCGUCAGCUCGUGUCGUGAGAUGUUGGGUUAAGUCCCGCAACGAGCGCAACCCUCGUUCUUAGUUGCCAGCAUUUCGGAUGGGCACUCUAGGGAGACUGCCGGUGACAAACCGGAGGAAGGUGGGGAUGACGUCAAGUCAGCAUGCCCCUUACGUCCUGGGCUACACACGUACUACAAUGCUCGAGACAAAGGGCAGCAAGUAUGCGAAUACAAGCAAAUCUCAGAAACUCGGGCUCAGUUCAGAUCGCAGGCUGCAACUCGCCUGCGUGAAGUCGGAAUCGCUAGUAAUUGCAGGUCAGCAUACUGCAGUGAAUUCGUUCCCGGGCCUUGUACACACCGCCCGUCACACCAUGGAAGCUGGUCACGCCCGAAGUCGUUACCCUAACCGUCAAAGGAGGGGGACGCCGAAGGUAGGAUUGGUGAUUGGGGUGAAGUAGUAACAAGGUAGCCGUACCGGAAGGUGUGGCUGGAUCACCUCCUUUUUAGGGAGACCAACAAAAUUAUGAAUGCUCAAUGAUCAAUCCAUCAUUCAUAAUUUUGACAUCCCAGGUCGGUCGCAGGAUUGAGAUAUGGCUUUCAAAUUAUGAAAUGGUUCGGUGAGACAGAGAAAGCAAACAAUGUAGAAAAGCUAAAUCAGCAACUGAAAACUUAGUUGUUAGGACUGCUGGGAAAAGAGCCAGCCAGAACCUUGAAAACUGCAUAGAGAAGCGAAAAGGUAGUAGUUGAGAGUUGAGUGAGAGAAGUUGUAAGUGAAAAGCUAACAACGAAGUAAAAUAGCUCAACAAUC